CAGCAGCCGCGGGAAUACAGAGGGUGCGAGCGUUAAUCGGAUUUACUGGGCGUAAAGCGUGCGUAGGCGGCUUUUUAAGUCGGAUGUGAAAUCCCUGAGCUUAACUUAGGAAUUGCAUUCGAUACUGGGAAGCUAGAGUAUGGGAGAGGAUGGUAGAAUUCCAGGUGUAGCGGUGAAAUGCGUAGAGAUCUGGAGGAAUACCGAUGGCGAAGGCAGCCAUCUGGCCUAAUACUGACGCUGAGGUACGAAAGCAUGGGGAGCAAACAGGAUUAGAUACCCCGGUAGUCCCUGUCUCUUUACA
rnacentral:rRNA from 1 species